rnacentral:rRNA from 1 species
GACGGAGGGUGCAAACGUUGUUCGGAAUCACUGGGCGUAAAGGGCGCGUAGGCGGAUCUUUAAGUCGGGGGUGAAAGCCCAGGGCUCAACCCUGGAAUUGCCUUCGAUACUGAAGAUCUCGAGACCGGAAGAGGUAAGUGGAACUGCGAGUGUAGAGGUGAAAUUCGUAGAUAUUCGCAAGAACACCAGUGGCGAAGGCGGCUUACUGGUCCGGUUCUGACGCUGAGGCGCGAAAGCGUGGGGAGCAAACAGG